rnacentral:tRNA from 1 species
AGCUCCGUGGCUACUUGGCUGACAUGAUACCCCACUCCUAUAAAUGGAGCACGAGUGGUUG